rnacentral:rRNA from 1 species
UACAGGGGGUGCAAACGUUGCUCGGAAUUAUUGAGCGUAAAGCGCGCGUAGGCGGCUACUUAAGUCGGAUGUGAAAGCCCUUGGCUCAACUGAGGAAGUGCACCCGAAACUGAGUGGCUAGAGUACGAAAGAGGGUCGCGGAAUUCCCGGUGUAGAGGUGAAAUUCGUAGAUAUCGGGAGGAACACCGGUGGCGAAGGCGGCGACCUGGGUCGAUACUGACGCUGAUGCGCGAAAGCGUGGGGAGCAAACAGG